AUUGAACGCUGGCGGCAUGCUUUACACAUGCAAGUCGAACGGCAGCGCGGGGCAACUUGGCGGCGAGUGGCGAACGGGUGAGUAAUAUAUCGGAACGUACCCAGAAGUGGGGGAUAACGUAGCGAAAGUUACGCUAAUACCGCAUACGAUCUACGGAUGAAAGUAGGGGACCGCAAGGCCUUAUGCUUUUGGAGCGGCCGAUAUCUGAUUAGCUAGUUGGUGAGGUAAAGGCUCACCAAGGCGACGAUCAGUAGCUGGUCUGAGAGGACGACCAGCCACACUGGAACUGAGACACGGUCCAGACUCCUACGGGAGGCAGCAGUGGGGAAUUUUGGACAAUGGGCGCAAGCCUGAUCCAGCAAUGCCGCGUGAGUGAAGAAGGCCUUCGGGUUGUAAAGCUCUUUUGUCAGGGAAGAAACGGUAGAGGCUAAUAUCCUUUGCUAAUGACGGUACCUGAAGAAUAAGCACCGGCUAACUACGU
rnacentral:rRNA from 1 species